UAUAACAAUAAACGACUCUCGACAACGGAUAUCUCGGCUCUCGCAUCUAUGAAGAACGUAGCGAAAUGCGAUACUUGGUGUGAAUUGCAGAAUCCCGUGAACCUUCGAGUCUUUGAACGCAUUUUGCGCCCUACUCCUUUAAGUCGAGGGCACACAUGCCUGGGCGUCACAC
rnacentral:rRNA from 1 species